rnacentral:rRNA from 2 species
GGUACUCCUUGAGUUUGAUCCUGGCUCAGUGCGGCUGGGUCACCUCCUUAGAGUUUGGUCGAGUAACAGGUAGGCAACCUGCCUCUCAGACCGGGGUAACAUAGGGAAACUUAUGCUAAUACCGGAUAGGUUUUUGGAUUGCAUGAUCCGAAGAGAAAAGAUGGCUUCCGCUAUCACUGGGAGAUGGGCCUGCGGCGAAUUAGCUAGUUGGUGGGGUAACGGCCUACCAAGGCGACAAUGCGUAGCCGACCUGAGAGGGUGACCGGCCACACUGGGACUGAGACACGGCCCAGACUCCUACGGGAGGCAGCAGUAGGGAAUUUUCCACAAUGGACGAAAGUCUGAUGGAGCAACGCCCCGUGAACGAUGAAGGUCUUCGGAUUGUAAAGUUCUGUUGUCAGGGACGAACACGUGCCGUUCGAAUAGGGCGGCACCUUGACGGUACCUGACGAGAAAGCCACGGCUAACUACGUGCCAGCAGCCGCGGUAAUACGUAGGUGGCAAGCGUUGUCCGGAUUUAUUGGGCGUAAAGCGCGCGCAGGCGGCUAUGUAAGUCUGGUGUUAAAGCCCGGAGCUCAAUCUCCGGUUCGCAUCUGUAACUGUGUAGCUUGAGUGCAGAAGAGGAGAAGCGGUAUUCCAUGUGUAGCGGUGAAAUGCGUAGAGAUGUGGAGGAACACCUGUGGCGAGGGGCGGCUUUCUGGUCUGUAACUGACGCUGAGGCGCGAAAGCGUGGGGAGCAGACAGGAUUAGAUACCCUGGUCGUCCACGCCGUAAACGAUGAGUGUUAGGUGUUGGGGGUUUCAAUACCCUCAGUGCCGCAGCUAACGCAAUAAGCAGUCCGCCUGGGGGGGACGCUCGCAAGAGUGAAACUCAAAGGAAUUGACGGGGGCCCGCACAAGCGGUGGAGCAUGUGGUUUAAUUAGAAGCAACGCGAAGAACCUUCUCAGGUCUUGACAUCACGUUGACCGCUCUGGAGACAGAGCUUCCCUUCGGGGCAGCGGUGACAGGUGGUGCAUGGUAGUCGUCAGCUCAGGUCGUGAGAUGUUGGGUUAAGUCAAGCAACGAGCGCAACCCUUAUCUUUACUUUCCAGCAUUCAGUUGGGCACUCUAGAGAGACUGCCGUUGACAAGCCGGAGGAAGGCGGGGAUGACGUCAAAUCAUCAUGCCCCUUAUGACUUGGGCUACACACGUGAUACAAUGGUUGGUACAAAGGGAUGCUACCUCGCGAGGGGAAGCCAAUCUCAGAAAACCAAUCUCAGUUCGGAUUGUAGUCUGCAACUCGCCUACAUGAAGUCGGAAUCGCUAGUAAUCGCGGAUCAGCAUGCCGCGGUGAAUACGUUCCCGGGCCUUGUACACACCGCCCGUCACACCACGGGAGUGGCAACACCCGAAGUCGGUGAGGUAACCGCAAGGAUCCUUAGAGUUAGAUGUGGGCACAGUGCGGGGGGAUCACCUCCUAGAGGAGUC